UAUGCAUUAGCUUACAUUUCUUGUUCUUAAGUAACCACUAUAGCAGCCUUUAAGAACAAUGACUGGUUUCAGGGCAAAACCUAUCUACCACAACCAAGAACAUAAAAUCCACAAGACACUUCUCAUAAAUACCCACUUACUCCUCUUGGUACUGCAAAGAUUUUGAGAGAGGUGUGAGAGAUGUGGAUAUCUCAGAUGGAAGACAAAACACUCAGAGCACAGAGCAAAUACGACACACCAGUAAAUAUUAUUUUGUCCUUUGGCAGUUCUGAAUUAAAUACCCUGUAUUAUACAUCACAGUUUCUUCAAUCAGGAGGAGGAAUACAAAGAUGAUGCCAAAAUUCUUGCUAAGCAUUUGGCAAGCACUUUGUCUGACAAAUUACUGGAAAUAUUAAACUUUCUUAGUACAGAGAAGUCUUUAAAAGCUACAUAAAGUAUUGCAAAUGGAAUGGAGAGUAGCAUUAAAGGCAAACCAAGAUUUCUGUUGUAACUGUCCAGGAAACGGUUGGCCAGAGGCAGCUAUCAGCAGAGCUGAGGGCAGUAUUUUACCUUGUGUUAUCUCUGUUGUCAAGGGUUAUAUCUAGCUCUUUUGACAGAUAUACACAUAUUAGAUUUGCCACAAGACAACUAUGUAAUAAAGUUUCUGUCUAAAUAUUCUAUGUCUAUGCUCACCUAAUUAAUCACUUAUACCAUGCUAAAAAUAUCUAACUCUGUCCUCAUCAACAGGAAGUUGUUCUGUUUAAAAACUUCUAAUACCUCACUCCUACUAGAAUUUUUUUUUUUAAUAUAUCAAUGGGAGAUAUAUAUAUAAUGGGUGAGAUACCAGAAUUUUCUUCACUGUUGGUAUCCAGCUUGGAUGCUCUGCAACAGUAUUCCUUGUGAUCCUGGUAUCUUUGUUUUUUUUACAUGUUUUAGCAAUAUAAUGAUGUUGUAUUGGUCACACCACCGAUUCUCACUCAUCAAAGCAGCCUUUAGAUAACUUCCAGAUAAGAUAUGAGAGUGGAAAAUCCAUUAUCCUCUUUGCUGGUUCUUUUGUCUUCUGAACAAAGGAUUUGAUUCAAAUUACUAAACUGAUUCCAAGGCACAGCAGUUAAGACUAGCAUUUUGAAAAUGUUUUUCCAUGCUUGAAUGGAAUGAACGAUCUGCUUCUACUUGCUUUAGGGAGAUGGCAAUGUGUGGAGAGUCAGAUGAAUAAUGACCUGAUUUAGUAGAAGAAAACUACUCUAGGGAGAGAUAAUGUUAUGGAAACAAAUAAAGCAGGGAAGCUGAAUACUACUUGAGGAAGGUGGGGGAAGUAUUUUAAUAAUCCUGCUCUUUGUGUGAACAUCAUAGGAAAAAAUACUAAAACAUCCUCAGCACAUGACCUGCAGCUUGACAGCCUACAGGUCACCCAGGUUCUGAGGUGUGGGAACAGCACCAUCUAUUGCAUUGCUGUCCUUACCAACGCGGCAUCAGACCUCAUAGCCUUCCCUGUGUGGCCCUCACAACACCUUUGUAAGGAGCAGGUAUUUUGACCUGGACAAUUGACUAUAUAACAAGAAUAAGAGCAUACCAUGGUACGGUUUUCCUGAAGAUGGCAAUUGCUUGCCAUUGCCAAAGACCUCUGAAGUCUAUUCUCUUGUAAGAUUACGCUAAAAUUGCUCUUCAUCAGUUACGACUACAAUAACUUUGCUUCUCUUCCCCUGCUCAGUAUAUUGUAUAAAGUAAAUGGAUGUUUCAUGGGCUUACCUCUGAGAUUUAUAUGUGUUCUUCAAUUAGAAUUAAUUAAAUAGCUUUUCUGGAAGUGUUAAUGUUUUCAAAACUCUUACAUGAGACACAUUAGCUGUAAAUGUGUACUUUGAAACUCCUUAAUAUCUAGGUCCAGGCUAAAGUCUAUGGAAGGACCAUAUGUGACCUAGCACAUAUGUCAGAUUUUUUACUGUUAAUAAAAGUGGGAUUUUUUUAUUUUUUUUUUAAUCCCAAACCACAUUAUCAUCCUCCAUCUUUCAAUAGUAUUAGAUGCUUGCCGUACCAUGAAACAAAACAGUGUAAAUAGGGUCAUCCUGAGGUGAACACGUUCAGCACGUAAUUGUUGCAGUAGAAUUUAAAAGAGGAUGUAAUCACCUCUUCUCUCUGUCUAGACGCUUGAAAGGGUUGUCAGGACUACAGCUACAGUUUACCAAGCAUCUGCUUUUGCUCCACAGGGGGAGCUAAAUCUUUGAGAUCAAAGUUUCAUGAUAAACACUUAGCUGGGGUGGAUUUUUUACAUGAAAAAUCAUCAAGUGCUACCCUUCACUGGACUCUUGUUUACCAUUUCUCAUUAGGCCCACAGCAAGGCUCCAUGGUGUACAUGGAAGCCACAAAGAAUCACAUCUGGAUGUUUAUAUAGAGCCUAAGGUGUUGAAGGGUAGAUUGGAGUACAGUCGCAGGGACAAAUCAGAGGGAAACCUUACUGCAGAAUAGAAGCUGUCAGAAGGCAGGACUUAUUGCUUGGGGCAAGCCCAUUGCCUGGCAGGUGGGUAUAUCUACCUUUGUAGGAAUAAUUCUUGUGUUUCUAAGAGAUAGAAACCACUACAGAAAGAUUUUCAAACUGCAAUACCCAACUAGGGAUUGCUUCAAAAAAAUAAAAAGAGACAUUCAUCUGCUUUAGCCUCCAACUGCUCCUGGAAAGUUUUGCCCUUCUUGAAGACUUCCCUGGAAAAGGAGGUAUUGCCACAGUGACUAGAAGGAAGAAAACUUGCUAGGUUACACUGUUCUUUGAAGGUAUAUCCCCUCUUUAAGCUUGCUAUCAGGACAAGUCACAGUGGCAUUUUGCAAAUCUGCUUUGCAUUCCUACAUGCUGAAUCUUUAUCAUGCAUUUUAAGAUGCUCCAUCACAACACAGGAAAUAAGGUGAAAUCUAAGACAACACAGCUUCUAAGUAACUGUAUUUCUCAUUUCUUUGUAGCCAGAUCAGUUCUGUACUGCAGGUGAUAUAGUUCAGUUCAAUGGAAUCACUGCCUAAAAGAAUGUUUCUGGCAAAUUCCAUUCUCUGCCUGCACAGGCUGUGGCCUUUGUGAUGAGUUUUAACUGGUCCCUGCUUGCCCAUCUUGGAUUAUGGAAUGCCCAUGCUAGGGACACAGAUUGGUGUGUUUUUGAAGCAAGUUUCGGGGUACUCACAUCCUGCUCCUACGUGAGGUUCUGAUGGGGCAAUCAUUUAGGAAGCACAUGCAGAGGUCAUAUGAACAGAGUAACUGAAGUCAAAGAGGACCCAAAAACAGGGCUCCUUCACCACUAAAAAUUCAUCCUCUUCGGAAUUCAGAAAGGCUCUUUCAAAGUGGCCUGUGUUUAUUUGAGCCUUUAAAUUCUCUAUACGGUAGGGAAGAAGACAAAGUUCUGUAUUCUGUCCUUAUGCUGGAAGGGAGCCAGUUCAACAGUAUUAUUUCUUCAGGUGUUAGAAGGAACAACACUGCAUAUGAGCUGCACCUUGAAGUCUUGAUGCCCAUUAUGGACCAAACUGUGGUAAUCCAAGCAAUAGAGGUCUUCUUGGCCAUAAACUGCUAGAGGAGUCUGUGGUGUGGUUUCAUCUGCAAGCAAGUUGGGAAAAGGCCAAUUGGCAACGAGCUCAUGGAUUUGCAGCAGAUUGUUAUGCUACUGUCACCACUGUGCAAAAAUGUGCUAGCUGUUCUCAAGACUUAACUCCCAAAUU